rnacentral:rRNA from 1 species
GACGAACGCUGGCGGCGCGCCUAACACAUGCAAGUCGAACGAGAGAUGAAGAGCUUGCUCUUCAAAUCGAGUGGCGAACGGGUGAGUAACGCGUGAGGAACCUGCCUCAAAGAGGGGGACAACAGUUGGAAACGACUGCUAAUACCGCAUAAGCCCACGGCUCGGCAUCGAGCAGAGGGAAAAGGAGCAAUCCGCUUUGAGAUGGCCUCGCGUCCGAUUAGCUAGUUGGUGAGGUAACGGCCCACCAAGGCGACGAUCGGUAGCCGGACUGAGAGGUUGAACGGCCACAUUGGGACUGAGACACGGCCCAGACUCCUACGGGAGGCAGCAGUGGGGAAUAUUGCACAAUGGGGGGAACCCUGAUGCAGCGACGCCGCGUGGAGGAAGAAGGUCUUCGGAUUGUAAACUACCUGUUGUUGUAGGAAGAUAAUGACGGUACUCAACAAGGAAGUGACGGCUAACUACGUG